UUCCCGAUUUUAAAGGAGUUAAUGAUUUAUUUUAGUUGCUGUUUCAUUAGUAUUAAUGAUAGGUCGUUGGCAGUGAGAUGUUAUUCGUUUUUAGUGGUUUCUGGUUUUUCAAGAAAUGAAUUUAAUUCAUGCGUCUUGUUUAGGGUUUUACUGUUGUUUAUUUUUCUUUAUUGGGCGUUAAGAUUAAGGGGGAUUAGCUCCUUGUUUUGUUUUUAUAAUUUUUGUGUGAAUUUAGUUUUGUGGAUUUUAUGGUGAUUUUCAAUUUGAUUAUGUUAAAAUUUUAUUUAUUUCUUUCUUUAUUUUGUUUUAUUUAAUUAUUUAUUGGAAUGUUUUCUUUGCUUUGUUUUGGAUUGUAAUUAUUGUGGAAUUAGUAAAUUUGUUUGUUAUGUUGUUUGUAUUUCUGUUUAAUUUCUUUUGAGGAAUUAGGCAAAUUUUGUGUCCGCCUGUUUAACAAAAACAUCUUUUCUUGUUAGUUUUUGAAGUAUGGCCUGCCCGCUGACUUGAGUGUUGAAGGGCCGCGGUAUUUUGACCGUGCAAAGGUAGCAUAAUCAUUAGUUCUUUAAUUGUGAUCUGGAAUGAAUGGCUUGACGAGGCACUGGCUGUCUUAGUGAUGGAUGUUUUAUUGAAUUUGGUCUUUGAGUUAAAAUUCUUAGAUGUUUUUAUGGGACGAGAAGACCCUAUAGAGUUUAACAUUUGGCUUAUUUAUUUUAUAUUGUUCGUUUUGUUUUUAGUGAGUGGGCUUUUUGUUUUGUUGGGGUGAUGAGAGGAAUAUAAUUUAACUCCUCUUGGUUUUUAGGUUAUAUUGAUUUAUAGUUGUUUGAUC
rnacentral:rRNA from 1 species